rnacentral:tRNA from 1 species
CGUGGCUCAGUUGGUAGAGCAACGCAUUCGUAAUGCGUGGGUCGGGGGUUCGAGUCCCCCCG